AUGUCUCGGCUUCUGAGGCUCCUCUCGGCGGUCGCUCUGCCUCUGUGCCGGGCUGGAGGAGCCCGAGCUCGGCUCUCUGCGGCGAGGGCAAGCUGGCUCUUCGCAGCCGGGUAUCGGAGCUCCGCCGCCCCAAACGUCUGUCGGACUCCAGCUAACUUCCUGUCCGGUCGCAGAUUCCAGUCGGCUCAGCGACGACUGUACUCCAGUGAACCCAAAGGUGAGAACUGCGGUGUAUCCAAAACAAAAACACGGGAGCGUGCACAUUGAAUAAUGUUAUGUUUCCACAGACUGCCGCUUACUCUCAACAUUUUCUCAUAUCAUUGAUGCUAAACCAAAGACAGACCAGGGGUCCUCAGGGAAUAAGCUGUGUUGCCUUUUUUUGGUAUUAGAAAUUUCUUUUGUGCAAAUUGAGGAUUACAAGCCCUUUAUUAUGAAAAGUUUAUUUGAUAAAUGAAGAUUUAUAUACAAGACAAUGUUUUCAAAUAUCCAUGUUAUUAUUGGGAUAAAUGAAAAGUCUAUCAUUAAUUAUUAAGACAAUUCCAGGGUGAAUUGAGAUUUUGUGUGUUUGUUUUUUGUCUGCAUUCACCACCGUCCAGGAUGUUUUGAGUCGGUUCCAGCAGGUUCAUUCACUCAUAUUUACUUUUUCAGACUGCAGCAUCACAGAUGUUUAAUAUGGUAACUAAAUCAACCAGGUAAUGUGAGCAAAGAUGGGAAAUGUUGACAUUUUCUGUAUUCUGAGACUGUUGGAUGUGACACUGUUGAUUCUAAAUAGAUGAUUUGGCAGCAGGUUUAAGUUUUCAUAUUAUGAAACAGCAUUUGUUGAGAAAAUAACAUGUUUAUAAUUUCAGUAUUUCACUGAAAGCAGAGGGAUGAAAACACACAGAGAAAUGGAAACCAGGGGAGACAAGGGGUCUGACAGGAUUGUAGUGGAUGGAGUGUAAUGGAUCCAAUAAUCUGUUGAGUUUCAGAUGGAGGAGGAGGAGGUGGAGGAAGAUCAGGAGGAGGGAAGAGAGGAGGAGGCGCAGGAAAAGACUGGUGGAGCCGAAUACAGAAGGUUUGUGACGUUUUAAAAAAAAAAGAUUGAAAGUCAAAUUUCCAUCACCACACUGGGGAAAUUUGUGAGAAACCUUUAUUCAAAGAAAACAACAUUCACAUUAAACGAGGGGGGACAAAAAUAACUGUCUUGGUAUAAUGUCCUAUGAAUGCUAAAUAUUAUCAAAUGAUUACUCGAUAGAUCAUUCAGCCAAUCAACAUUUUGACAAAUUUGAUAUUUGCUCCUGCUUCUCAAAAGGCUGCUACUUUUCCCUCAUUUAGCAUAAAUUAAACUGAAUUUCUUUUGGUUUUGAACAGUUUGUCAUAUAAACAAGAUUGUCACUUUUGAAUCUAGAAAGUUUUGACAUUCUCAGGCCUUUUGACAGUUUUCUGAUGUUUUACUGACUAAACCAUUUAAUGAUCAAUUGACAAAAUUGAUAAUUUCCCCAUAAUGAAUAAACUGACUAUGUUUACAUGGCAACCAAUAAUUUGACUAUUGAGCUUACUCUGGGGAAUGUUAUGAUGUUUACAUGAG
rnacentral:lncRNA from 1 species